ACUCAAAUGAAUUGACGGGGGCCCGCACAAGCAGCGGAGCAUGUGGUUUAAUUCGACGCGACGCGAAGAACCUUACCUGGGCUUGACAUGUGAGUGACCGACGUGGAAACACGUCUUCCCUUCGGGGCACUUUCACAGGUGGUGCAUGGCUGUCGUCAGCUCGUGUCGUGAGAUGUUGGGUUAAGUCCCGCAACGAGCGCAACCCCCGUCGCAUGUUGCCAGCAUUUAGUUGGGGACUCAUGCGAGACUGCCGGUGACAAACCGGAGGAAGGUGGGGAUGACGUCAAGUCCUCAUGCCCCUUAUGUUCAGGGCUACACACGUGCUACAUUGGCGCAUACAGAGGGCUGCGAUACCGCGAGGUGGAGCGAAUCCCUUAAAGUGCGUCUCGGUUCGGAUUGCAGGCUGAAAUUCGCCUGCAUGAAGGCGGAGUUGCUAGUAAUCGCGGAUCAGCAUUGCCGCGGUGAAUACGUUCCCGGGCCUUGUACACACCGCCCGU
rnacentral:rRNA from 1 species